AAAUCAGGCAUAAGUGGUCCUUUGGCCUCAGCUGAGGGCUGCUUUGGAAAGAUGCCAAAAUGGGAUUGGAAUUUGGACAGGAAACCAGAUCCUGAGUAUCUCAAGUACACUGAUUCCAUAUUUCAACAAAAGGUGAUGAGAAAGAAAAACCUCCUGGAAGCUAACUGUUGGAUAUGGGAUGAUGGAGACCAAGAUAAUUGAAUCAACAGAAAAAGUGUGAAACAGCUCAAAGGACUUUUCAACCAAUUCACAAGUUCCCGUGCGCAUGACAGAGGUCACAUUGUUGCCCAUUUUGAUUCAGAGGGAAACGUGGCCUGGCUCACUACCUGGCAAAGCCAUACAGCCUCCAGGGUUCACACAGGGAGCUCUGUAACUCCCUCAGGCAGGAGGAGCACAGUCCCAGUGCAAGGCUGCAGAUACACAGACCCUGAGCCUAUGGAUAUUGAGGAGCCAUUUAUUCACAGCCAGGCUAAAUUCACACAUUGUUCCAGACUGAGGCUUUUCCUGUGAUCUUCAACUAAAAGUUUUCACUUAGUCUGUGAAAUGACUCCA